UAAGCAUAUCAAUAAGCGGAGGAAAAGAAACCAACAGGGAUUGCCUUAGUAACGGCGAGUGAAGCGGCAACAGCUCAAAUUUGAAAUCUGGCUCCUUCGGGGUCCGAGUUGUAAUUUGCAGAGGAUGCUUCGAGUUAUGGUUCCUUCCGAGUUCCCUGGAACGGGACGCCAUAGAGGGUGAGAGCCCCGUCUGGUAGGAAACCAUGCUCAUGUGAAGCUCCCUCGACGAGUCGAGUAGUUUGGGAAUGCUGCUCUAAGGGGAGGUAUACUCCUUCCAAGGCUAAAUACCGGCUAGAGACCGAUAGCGCACAAGUAGAGUGAUCGAAAGAUGAAAAGUACUUUGAAAAGAGAGUCAAACAGCACGUGAAAUUGUUAAAAGGGAAGCGCUCGCUACCAGACGUGGGUUCGGUGGUUCAACCAGGUCCAUGACCUGGGGCACUCCGCCGGCCCAGGCCAGCAUCAGCUUUCCGUCGGGGGCAAAGGCGUCGGGAAUGUGGCUCUCCUUCGGGGGAGUGUUAUAGCCCGUCGCGUCAUACUCUUCGGGGGGCUGAGGUACGCGCUCCGCAAGGAUGCUGGCGUAAUGGUAGCUAGUGACCCGUCUUGAAACACGGACCAAGGAGUCAACCUUAUGUGCGAGUGCCCGGGCGUAAAACCCCAGCGCGGAAUGAAAGUGAACGUAGGUGAGAGCUUCGGCGCAUCACCGACCGAUCCUGAUGUCCUCGGACGGAUUUGAGUGAGAGCAUAUAGGGUUGGACCCGAAAGAAGAUGAACUAUGCGUGUGUAGGGUGAAGCCAGAGGAAACUCUGGUGGAGGCUCGCAGCGGUUCUGACGUGCAAAUCGAUCGUCAAACAUGCGCAUGGGGGCGAAAGACUAAUCGAAUCUUCUGGUAGCUGGUUUCCGCCGAA
rnacentral:rRNA from 1 species